rnacentral:rRNA from 1 species
GACGAACGCUGGCGGCGUGCUUAACACAUGCCAGUCGAACGGAAAGGCCUUUUCGGAGGUACUCGAGUGGCGAACGGGUGAGUAACACGUGGGUGAUCUGCCCUGCACUCUGGGAUAAGCCUGGGAAACUGGGUCUAAUACCGGAUAGGACCGCACUUUAGUGUGUGUGGUGGAAAGUUUUUUCGGUGUAGGAUGAGCCCGCGGCCUAUCAGCUUGUUGGUGGGGUAAUGGCCUACCAAGGCGGCGACGGGUAGCCGGACUGAGAGGUUGGUCGGCCACAUUGGGACUGAGAUACGGCCCAGACUCCUACGGGAGGCAGCAGUGGGGAAUAUUGCACAAUGGGCGCGAGCCUGAUGCAGCGACGCCGCGUGGGGGAUGACGGCCUUCGGGUUGUAAACUCCUUUCGCCAGGGACGAAGCGUUUUGUGACGGUACCUGGAGAAGAAGCACCGGCUAACUACGUG